rnacentral:rRNA from 1 species
AGUAACGCGUGGGUAACCUACCUUUCAGCGGGGGAUAACUAUUGGAAGCGAUAGCUAAUACCGCAUAAUAAUGUUGGAUGCAUAUUCGACAUUUGAAAGUACCAAUCGGUACACUGAGAGAUGGACCCGCGUUGUAUUAGCUAGUUGGUAGUGUAAUGGACUACCAAGGCGAUGAUACAUAGCCGACCUGAGAGGGUGAUCGGCCACAUUGGGACUGAGACACGGCCCAAACUCCUACGGAAGGCAGCAG